CCUACGGGCGGCAGCAGUGAGGAAUAUUGGUCACUGGGCGAGAGCCUGAACCAGCCAAGUCGCGUGAAGGAUGACGGCCCUACGGGUUGUAAACUUCUUUUGUCAGGGAGCAAUUGAGUCCACGUGUGGGCUUAGCGAGAGUACCUGAAGAAAAAGCAUCGGCUAACUCCGUGCCAGCAGCCGCGGUAAUCCGGAGGAUGCGAGCGUUAUCCGGAUUUAUUGGGUUGAAAGGGUGCGCAGGCGGCCUGUUAAGUCAGCGGUAAAAGCCCGGGGCCCAACCCCGGGGAGCCGUUGAAACUGGCUGGCUGGAGUUGGAGAGAAGUACGCGGAAUGAGCGGUGUAGCGGUGAAAUGCUUAGAUAUCGCGCAGAACCCCGAUUGCGAAGGCAGCGUACCGGCUCCACACUGACGCUGAGGCACGAAAGCGUGGGUAUCGAACAGGAUUAGAUACCCCUGUAGUC
rnacentral:rRNA from 1 species